rnacentral:rRNA from 1 species
UACAGAGGUCUCAAGCGUUGUUCGGAUUCAUUGGGCGUAAAGGGCGCGUAGGCGGCGGGGUCAGUCGGGUGUGAAAUCUUGGGGCUUAACCCCGAAACGGCACUCGAAACUGCCCGGCUGGAGGGCCGGAGAGGAGAUCGGAAUUCACGGUGUAGCAGUGAAAUGCGUAGAGAUCGUGAGGAAGACCCGUGGCGAAGGCGGAUCUCUGGACGGCUAACUGACGCUGAGGCGCGAAGGCCAGGGGA